rnacentral:rRNA from 1 species
GGAGUUUUCAGGUCAAAGCUCGUCCUUGUGGCGUGGCUCGGCUUGGGCUUCUUACUUUUGGAUAGUGGGCAACCGCUUCCAAUCAUUUACUUUGAAAAAAUUAGAGUGUUCAAAGCAGGCGUAACCUUGCCAUUGAAUAUUACAGCAUGGGAUAAUAGAAUAUGACGUUGGUCUUAUUUUGUUGGUUUCUAAGGCUGAUGUA